UCCGGGUGGCAAUGGGAAGCCGUGAUGCGGAGCGAAAUAAAGUAGUGAAGUCCGUGAGCCAUGCGUCAAGAAAAGCCGCUAUUGUUUAUACCGUACCCGUACCGUAAACCGACACAGGUGGAUGAGGAGAGAAUCCUAAGGCCGGCGGAAGAAGCAUUGUCAAGGAACUCGGCAAAAUGGCCCCGUAACUUAGGGAUAAGGGGUGCCUGGGAAACCAGGCCGCAGAGAAUAGGCUCAAGCAACUGUUUAGCAAAAACACAGGUCUAUGCGAAACCGAAAGGUGAGGUAUAUGGGCUGACGCCUGCCCGGUGCUGGAAGGUUAAGAGGAGAGGUUAGCGGUAACGCGAAGCUUUGAAUUUAAGCCCCAGUAAACGGCGGCCGUAACAAUAACGGUCCUAAGGUAGCGAAAUUCCUUGUCGGGUAAGUUCCGACCCGCACGAAAGGCGUAAUGAUUUGAGCGCUGUCUCGACAAUGCAUCCGGUGAAAUUGAAGUACCAGUGAAGAUGCUGGUUACCUGCGCCAGGACGGAAAGACCCCAUGGAGCUUUACUCCAGUCUGGUACUGGGACUCGGUAUUGCAUGUACAGGAUAGGUGGGAGGCUAGGAGAUGGUAACGCCAGUUGCCAUGGAGCCGCUGUUGGGAUACCACCCUUGCAGUAUUGGGUUUCUAACCAGCCGCCGUGACCCGGCGGUGGGACAAUGCCAGACGGGGAGUUUGACUGGGGCGGUCGCCUCCGAAAGGGUAUCGGAGGCGCCCAAAGGUUCCCUCAGAAUGGACGGUAACCAUUCGAAGAGUGCAAAGGCAGAAGGGAGCUUGACUGCGACACCGACGGGUGGAGCAGGUACGAAAGUAGGGCUUAGUGAUCCGGUGGUAUUAAGUGGGAAUGCCAUCGCUCAACGGAUAAAAGCUACCCUGGGAUAACAGGCUUAUCACUCCCAAGAGUUCACAUCGACGGAGUGGUUUGGCACCUCGAUGUCGGCUCAUCGCAUCCUGGGGCUGUAGUAGGUCCCAAGGGUUGGGCUGUUCGCCCAUUAAAGCGGUACGCGAGCUGGGUUCAGAACGUCGUGAGACAGUUCGGUCCCUAUCCGGCGUGGGCGUAGGAUAUCUGAGAGGAGCUGUCCUUAGUACGAGAGGACCGGGAUGGACGGGCCGCUGGUGCAUCGGUUAGACUGCCAAGUCUACGGCCGAGUAGCCAAGCCCGGAAGGGAUAAACGCUGAAGGCAUCUAAGCGUGAAGCCCCCCUUAAGAUGAGAUAUCCCAUUCGAAAGAAGUAAACCCCCUUGAAGACGACGAGGUAGAUAGGGCAGAGGUGGAAGUGCAGCAAUGCAUGGAGCUGACUGUUACUAAUCGGGUGAGGGCUUGACCG
rnacentral:rRNA from 1 species